CGCAAUUGCGCCAAUUUAGCCCUAUAAAGAUCAGUCUAUUCUUAUUGUUCUUUCAUUCAACACCAUUAUGCCUCCACUGAUGAGCUCAGGAGGAGCGAAACAGCUGUCUGGAGGGUCAUUGUCAAUAUGAAUCUAUAUACCGGCAUUGUCCUCGCUAUGGUGAUGGUGAUUUCAGCAGUUGCGGAGGAAGCAGCAUAAUCAGUAGAAGCAUCGUGUUAGGAAUGGUAGUGCAGCUGAGGCCUCCAGCUCUGCAACAUAGGGCGUGAAGCAGUAGCAAAAACAUCUUCUGCACGAGCGAGCCGUUCAGACCAGAGCGACAGCAAACUAUGCAGUGUUCAGCCACUCAAACUCGAAAUGGCGAGGACUCCCCAAGGAUCUCUCUGAAUGAGACACCUUUGUACGUAGGUGUUGAUGAUGACAAGUAUGCGUCAACGGUCGAUGGUUUUGAGCAGAACAGUUUUCCUAUGUUCUUCUCGGAGCAAUGUAGGAUUAAGCAGAGACGUCAGAAACAGCAACA